rnacentral:rRNA from 1 species
UACGGAGGGAGCUAGCGUUGUUCGGAAUUACUGGGCGUAAAGCGCACGUAGGCGGCUUUGUAAGUUAGAGGUGAAAGCCCGGGGCUCAACUCCGAAACUGCCUUUAAGACUGCAUCGCUUGAAUCCAGGAGAGGUGAGUGGAAUUCCGAGUGUAGAGGUGAAAUUCGUAGAUAUUCGGAAGAACACCAGUGGCGAAGGCGGCUCACUGGACUGGUAUUGACGCUGAGGUGCGAAAGCGUGGGGAGCAAACAGG